UGGGGAAUUUUGGACAAUGGGGGAAACCCUGAUCCAGCCAUCCCGCGUGUGCGAUGAAGGCCUUCGGGUUGUAAAGCACUUUUGGCAGGAAAGAAACGUCAUGGGUUAAUACCCCGUGAAACUGACGGUACCUGCAGAAUAAGCACCGGCUAACUACGUGCCAGCAGCCGCGGUAAUACGUAGGGUGCAAGCGUUAAUCGGAAUUACUGGGCGUAAAGCGUGCGCAGGCGGUUCGGAAAGAAAGAUGUGAAAUCCCAGAGCUCAACUUUCGAACUGCAUUUUUAACUACCGGGCUAGAGUGUGUCAGAGGGAGGUGGAAUUCCGCGUGUAGCAGUGAAAUGCGUAGAUAUGCGGAGGAACACCGAUGGCGAAGGCAGCCUCCUCGGAUAACACUGACGCUCAUGCACGAAAGCGUGGGGAGCAAACAGG
rnacentral:rRNA from 1 species